CUCCUUCUCCUCCAUCAUCAGGAGGGUCUCGACUGCAGUUCUACUCCAGGCUCCGCAUCCAAGCAAUUGCAACGAAUGGCAAGGUUGCGUGUCUCAAAGUAGAAAUCUCAGAGGUGUCGCUUCCUGCCGUAUUCAUGCGAUGGAGGAGGUUCUUUCAUGAUUCCUUAGUUGUUUUUGGUUCGAUUUUUUAUCUCGCGGCGCUCAUCUAGGUCUUCUGUUGCCCCCUUGUUGUUCUAGGCUUAGGUUUUGUUGUUGGAUUGGUGACUGUCGCGAACUGGUAACACGUCAGCUUGCUAUUGUCUGCCAUCUCUGUUGAUCGAGGUAGCUUUGCUGCUUCUGCUCUUGCUCGGCCAUCCCGUUAGGUUGCCACCGAUGGGAAUACAACCAGUGGACAUGUUUUGCUUGUCAACGACCAGAACAAGAACAAGUCAAUACUUAUCUGUAUAUAUUCAACUUUGUGGAUGAUUGCAGGCUUUGUGUUCAUAGUUUAUAUGGUUUGUCUUUAUAUCUAGUCCAUGGUCGCUGUAUUGGUCUAUCAUUCAUCUACCGGCUAAUUAACUUUAUAAAGGUCAUGGCAUUAAUAGGAUAUAUUUUGCUUUUUUCCUUUACAGAAAAGAUUAUUAUCGGGCUAACAGUGACUCAAUACAUUGCUUGACACAAUGAUUUGAGAUUAACUAUAAGGGAGUUUAUUCCUAGCUUCUAGCCCUACAUAAAAUGGCGGAUGGUUCAGUUCCUCAUUUGGUGCUUUUCCUUAAUCUCCACCUAUAUUAUACCAAGACGAUGCCCCUGAAUAAGCGAGACAAGCACAUCAUCUGCUCAAGCCAAAGUUGGCCAAAUUGAAAGGUUUUAUCUUUCUGAAAUUUUUCCUAUUUUUCCUCUACUUAGUAAGGUGCGGUAAAUGCAAGCACUCUUAAGGCUUUUUCAGUUUCCUCUAAUCUAGUGGAAGCACAUUGAUGCUUUCAUUUUAAGUGGGCCAUGAUAGCCGAACAAAGAACUUAAUUUUGUGUUCCUUGUA